rnacentral:rRNA from 1 species
CUUCUUGACUUUAUAUUAGAAGUCGGGCCUGUCCACUGAAAUACAUUUAAAGGACCGCGGUAUAUUGACCGUGCAAAGGUAGCAUAAUCAUUAGUUUUUUAAUUGAGAACUGGAAUGAAUGGUUUGACGAAAUAAUUAGUGUCUCUAAUAUAAUUAAUUGAAAUUUACUUUUAAGUUAAAAGGCUUAAAUAUUAAUAAGGGACGAUAAGACCCUAUAGAUCUUUAUAAUAAUCUUAUUAUUAUUGUUUUGGUUGAGUUUUGAUAUUUUAAUAAUUUUAUUAUUUCGUUGGGGUGAUGUGAGAAUAUAAAAACUUCUUGAUUUUUAACUUUGAUAAUUGAAUUUAAAAUCCUAUAUUUAUGGAAUAAAGAUUAAGAUACCUUAGGGAUAACAGCGUAAUUUUAUUGGAAAGUUCUUAUUGAUAAUAGGGAUUGCGACCUCGAUGUUGGAUUAAGAAUAUAAAUUGGUGUAGAUGCUAAUAUUAUUGGUCUGUUC